rnacentral:rRNA from 1 species
UGGGGAAUUUUGCACAAUGGGGGAAACCCUGAUGCAGCGACGCCGCGUGAUUUAGAAGGCCUUCGGGUUGUAAAAAUCUUUUCUAUGGGAAGAAAAUGACAGUACCAUAGGAAUAAGGACCGGCUAAUUACGUGCCAGCAGCCGCGGUAAUACGUAAGGUCCGAGCGUUGUCCGGAAUCAUUGGGCGUAAAGGGUACGUAGGCGGGUAAGCAAGUUAGAAGUGAAAUCCUAUAGCUCAACUAUAGUAAGCUUUUAAAACUGCUCAUCUUGAAGUAUGGGAGGGGAAGUGGAAUUCCUAGUGUAGCGGUGAAAUGCGCAGAUAUUAGGAGGAAUACCGGUGGCGGAGGCGACUUUCUGGGCAUAACCUGACGCUGAGGUACGAAAGCGUGGGUAGCAAACAAG